AUUGAACGCUGGCGGCAGGCCUAACACAUGCAAGUCGAGCGGAUGAAGGGAGCUUGCUCCUGGAUUCAGCGGCGGACGGGUGAGUAAUGCCUAGGAAUCUGCCUGGUAGUGGGGGAUAACGUCCGGAAACGGGCGCUAAUACCGCAUACGUCCUGAGGGAGAAAGUGGGGGAUCUUCGGACCUCACGCUAUCAGAUGAGCCUAGGUCGGAUUAGCUAGUUGGUGGGGUAAAGGCCUACCAAGGCGACGAUCCGUAACUGGUCUGAGAGGAUGAUCAGUCACAGUGGAACUGAGACACGGUCCCGGCUCCUACGGGAGGCAGGAGCUGGGAAUAUUGGACGAAGGGCGGAAGGCUGAACCAGGCAUGGCGGGUGUGUGAAGAAAGGCCUCGGGUUGGAAAACAGUUUUAGGUUGGAAGAAGGGCAGUAAGUUUAUACCUUGCUGUUUUGACGUUACCAACAGAAUAAGCACCGGCUAACUUCGU
rnacentral:rRNA from 1 species